AAUAGGAAAUCUCUAAAGAAAUAUCCCAUCUAUGUAGAGAUUUCUCAAACCAGAGUCGACCUCCUCUCUUCUCUUUCACAAUCCAAGAUGGCUGGCAUUAGGGUUGCCAUUACAGGUGAAAAAGAGACUUAACCUACACCUUGUAGAAAGAUCACACACAAAGGCAAAAAGGUAAGUAAAAAUUCAUUUACUACUAUGAUACAAGAACAUAGUAUUUGUGAAAUAUUCUCUAUAGAGAAUUGUCGUAACAUUUAUAUGACAUUGAUAAGGAGAUCAUGGCAUACCAUAUGAUUGUUAGGAUGAUUGAGUAUGUGGCCCUGAAAUAUAUUGAUUUAGCAUGCCAUUCACUAGUAUUUGCAUAUGUAUGCAUGACAUGUCCAUUGUUAAAAAUUUAGCAUGCACAACAUGACUGAAAAAGUGAAUUUAUGACAUAAAAAUAUUUUAUUGACCACUACUAGGAUACCAAGGCAUAUGAGAUAUGCAUAUGUGACAUGUUUUGGCGUCACGGGUAAGACUUCCCAGGUGAUCAUGGAGGGUAGACCACUGGACUGUACCUUUGUGACAAUAUGAUUAUUGACACUGCGGGUGGAUACUUUUUGGAUGAUCAUAAGGACAGUUAGGGAAUGUACUUCUAGUGAUCACAAGAGGAUAUCAUAUUAGCCAUUGGAUUAUUGAUUGAUAUUUAAGUUGCACAGGGCUCUGUUUGGUGAAUAGUAAGUGGAUCAAAAUUCCAAUGAAAGGAAAAGAUUUCAAUUGAAAUUAUUUUGAGUUAACUUUGACGAAUAUUUGAAUACGAUGCAAAGCAUGAUGUUUUAAAGAAACGACAUGGAGGCAUAUACUCAUAUUACUUAUACUCAUAGAAAGCAUGCCUUUUACUUAUUAGGCAUUAGCUUAGAUAGUUUUUGCAUUGUAGGUGAGCAUGGAACUUCACAGAAGACAUGGCUAGCUUUGAAACUCUUACAGGAUUCCAAAGUUUAAUGUACAUUGAUGACGACCUAUAAGGUUGUUUUGUGAGCUGUUGUUUUGAUCUUAUAAUCUAUUGUGUUAUAAUUUGAGGAUCCUAUAUUUUAUCUAUAUAACUUUUGAAAUGGUAUGGUAGAUAUCUUUGUAAUCCUCAAAGUAAAUACGUUAAAAUUUAGUUAUAUAGUAUUUGGUCUUAACAUACUAUACGUACAUCAUAGACGAUUAGUCAAGAAUAUACAGGGACCUUAUUGUGAAAAUGUUUAUUUUAUUUUAUCAUGUCUGAUAUAGCGGGAAGUUGGAUCCUAGUAAGGGCCAUGUCUAAUCCUUUGGUUCCUUUUCCAGUUGAAAUAGAAUCGUAUGUCUAGGUUAGGUCAUCAAAUUUUAUUUCAAUAUAGGUUAGUAUAUUUUUGUAUAUAUGAAUAGGGUUUGACAGAAAGUGGUAUCAGAGUGAGGUUGUAAUUCUGUAGACUAUCCAUUUACAUGAUAUCAAAUUAUGAAAGAACACAACUAAGCCAAUAAAUUUUAUUUUGUAGCAGUACUUGCUGCUUACUUCAUGAAUGAUAUUGAUCAAUCUUUAUUUGCAACCAUGGUAAAAACUAGAGACGCUAGUAGGAGUGGAGCUAGAAUCUAAUAAGAGACAUCUAUUUAAGAUCAUAGUGGGGAUGUUAUCGAUAGACUUACAGAACUAGUUGAGCAAUAAUCUCAAUAAAUUCAACACUUAAUACAACUAAGAGAAAGAAAAGAACAACAAAGCGCUAAAUUUUUACAAUCACAAUAAAGACCUGAACAAAUUGACAGUUGGGGACAGAUUUAGAAAACUAAACCCUCCAAUAUUUGAGGAUACAUUAGACCCAACAAUAGCAAAGGAUUAGUUGAGAACUUUAGAGAUUAUGUUCUAAUACACGAAAGUUUCAAAGGUAGGAAAAGUAGUUUGCGCAUCAUUCAUGCUUUAAGGUAGUGUUGGACACCAGUGGGACACGAUAAAUAGCAUUGAAGAUGUGAACGCCAUGAAUUGGGAUAGAUUGAAAGUGUUAUUUAUGAUGGGGAUAGUAUUUGCCAAAGAGAGCUUGGGUCAUUGCUCUUUGUAUUGUAAAUGGUGGAUUGUCCCCAACUGUAAAUAUAUGAAAUAGACUUUUCCAUUCUUGUUUAAAUUUUGCAUUACGGUUGUGGCUUGCUGAAGCGUAAUUGGGAGUUGAAUUGUUUUCUUUGUUGUUUUUGGACUCAUAAUCAAUGACACGUCCUUUGAAAUGCAUUUUUCGAAAAGGAGAGGAGAUGCCUUAGUUGAAGCGAGUCUGUUACACUUGGUGGAAGUUAUGAUAAGAGUUCGAAGGAAGAGGCGAUGCCUUAGUCGAGGUUAAGGCAAGCCUGUUAUACUUGGCGGAAGUCAUGAUAAGACUUUGCAGGAAAGUUUGUUUGUCUAUUUGUGUGAGUUAUGUUUGUAAUUUGCUUGUGGUCAUUAUUUGGUAUUGAGGGCAUAUAUAGGUCAAAGGCAAGUGAGAAAAUAAGAUGUAUUUUAAUUGCAGUAAAUUUGAACAUAGAUGAAAAUAGACUAUCUUAGGAAUGAUAAUAAAAGAAAAGAGAAGGUCAGAAAUGAGGCGAAUGUGGCUACACGGUCAAGUGAUGGCCCUAAUGAGGUUUAUUGAGAGUAAACUUGGUUACUGCAUGUGUAUCUGUAUGUAAUCUUUUUUACAUGUGUGUGAUUGCUUAAUUCUGUUUCAUUGAUAUGUUACACUUUCACAUUUUUUUGUGCUGAACUGUAUGAAUUAAAGUGAUCUUAUUACUUGGUGUAAUGUGUUUGCAUACAUAAUGGGUUGAGAUUUAUGGCAUACUCAUUUUGCUCUGUAGUGGUGUGAGAGUGUGGUAGUAAGAAGAAAGAAGAAUGGUCGUUUUUCUUUUAUCUUUGUAAGUAUGUGUGGUUUGUGAGAUUAUGUGGGGUAGCCAUAUAUAGGUUAUCAUCUUCCUCUUUUGUAAGUUUAGUGAAGGAACCGACUCUUUCUUCUAUUCUUUUUAUGAGUAUCAUCUUCUUCUUUUCUUUUGUGGAUUUUUUGAUUGAAGCAACCUUCUGGUGUGUGGAUCAAUUUAAAUUGAGCCCUAACAUUUGUAGUAGUCAAAAGGUAUUGAUUUGUUAUAGUGGGUUUGUGAUGCACUAACAGUGAAUAUGUCUUUUUGGUAAGGUAGAGUAUAGAUGCCUUGGGAUACUUGUGUCAUUUGGAUCACAAGUGGAGAUGUGAUUUAAAUAUUAGAAUCCUUUAUUUGUAAAGAGAACUUUAUUAGGUAGAGUGUGGGAGAAGCACUCAAUCACUUCUGUUAGGUGGUGGCCCAUUAUCCAUAAAGGUUGGAAGAAGUGAUGUGAUGAUGAGGAUUAUCCUAUGGAUUUAGGAUCUAUUGUGGCUUAUUAGUUAGACAUGACUUGUGUGAUUAGCCUAGUGAGCAUGGUGGGUGGUGAGAGGAGAUAUGUGUUCUCGAGGUGUAAGCAACACGGAAUGGGAUAUGAUAAGUUUGGUAAGAUCUUUCAUGGGGUCAGUUAUACAUUUGUUGCAUGUGUUUUGACUAUUUGAUUGAUUAACUUAGUGUUAAUCUAUUAUUCUAUAUGGAUUUGAUUUUGGAAAGAUCUAUCUGUUAUCCUAUAUAAUAUCUUCAUUGCAUAAUUAUUAGUUCUUGAUUGUUCACUAUGAUUAUCUGCUUCUACUUGGGUAUUUUGUUUGUGGUCUUAGCCCUGGUGAAUAUAUGGAGCAAGUGUGGUAUGUGUUUUGUUUCCGAAACACGAGGUAAGGUCUGUGAUCCCAAUUUUAUUUGUUAUCUUGAUUAUGCAAGUAUUAACUUGUGUUUUGAUUGCUUGCAAAUUGAUUAGGUAUCAAAGUUGAGAGUUGUUACCCAAUAAAUCUUGGCAAUGAUUUAAAACAGUUGAUAGAUAAUUUAUCGACACUAUAGACUUGGCGCAACCAAAAUACGAUCGACCUUUUUGGAGAGCCCAAGUUGGAGUUGGAUUUGUUGUUGAUGGUAUGUGAGUCUUGGCCCAGUUGUUAUUAAGUUUGCCUCGAUUUUUGGUAGUCCAUUUGUUAGUUUAAACUUUAGUUCAUUGUGGCCCACUUACAUUAUUGUUGGCCCAUUAAGUGACCUAAUAUUUGAUCUAUAUAUCUAUCCCUGUAGCCAUUUUUUGUGUAGUGUGUGUGUGUGUUAACGAGAGAGAGGG